rnacentral:RNase_P_RNA from 1 species
UGGGCUGGCCGGACGACCGCGUCGGCGUACCUCUCGGGUGACCGGGGAUACGUCGCCGAGGAAGGUCCGGGCUCCACAGGGCAGGGUGGUGGGUAACACCCACCAGGGGAAACCCGCGGGACAGUGCCACAGAGAACAGACCGCCUCGGUCCUCGGACCGCGGCAAGGGUGAAACGGUGGUGCAAGAGACCACCAGCGAUCCGGGUGACCGGAUCGGCUAGGCAAACCCCACCCGGAGCAAGAUCGAACAGCGCACGUUCGAGGGCGGCCCGCCCGAGUGCGCGGGUAGAUCGCUGGAGGGCACCGGCAACGGUGCUCGUAGAUGGAUGGUCGUCACCCGGACUCCCGUGAGGGACCCGGGCACAGAACCCGGCCUACAGGCCAGCCCGUCCG